UACGUAGGUGGCAAGCGUUGUCCGGAUUUAUUGGGCGUAAAGGGAGCGCAGGCGGUUCCUUAAGUCUGAUGUGAAAGCCCACGGCUCAACCGUGGAAGGUCAUUGGAAACUGGGGAACUUGAGUGCAGAAGAGGAGAGUGGAAUUCCAUGUGUAGCGGUGAAAUGCGUAGAUAUAUGGAGGAACACCAGUGGAGAAGGCGACUCUCUGGUCUGUAACUGACGCUGAGGCUCGAAAGCGUGGGGAGCAAACAGGAUUAGAUA
rnacentral:rRNA from 1 species